UGAUCCAUAAAACUGACCCAUUUCUACAAUUUACUAACCCAUUUCAACCUGCUAUCUCCAAUUCUAUAUUUCUUGUAGAUGAGAAAUGUUUAAUAAUAAAAGAAACACUUUGUACUCUGACUUAUGCAUUUAAUAAUAGGUGAGAUGUGGCAAGAAUAAGUUGAAUCGGGAGAAGUUGAAAGUCCUCCACACUGCUGGCUCAAAGGCCUUCAGAAAAGUGCAAUAUGAUGAGCAAGACCGUGCCACUGGAGAGGAACUUGGACUUGUUGAGUUGUACAAAAAGACGCAUUUCAGUGAGAAAAAAGAGGCAUGGGUGCAUGCUGAUGCUGAGAUUAGACAUUACAAGCUUGAAAAGCGGCAAGAGAAAGCUAUUGAAGAAGGAUCUUGCCCGAUAUCUGAUGAGCAACUUUCUAUUGAGGUAUUUGGACAAAAAGUUGGCUACAUACGCAGCUUAGGGCGUGGUCGAAAACCAAGUACAACAUUAUCUGGAAAACUUACCCGUGCCCAACUCGAGAGGGAUAAUGAGGCUGCUACAAGGGAGGCUGAAGAGCAACGAAGAAUCAAUGAGGAGCUGGUGGGAAGAAUUCAAAUCUUGGAGUCAGAUCGCACGGAAUACAAUGCCAAAGUCGACUUCUUGAUGCAGCAGAUCAGUCAAAGAGUACCCUCUACUGAUUCUUCUUCUUAGUCCUGCAAGCUUGCGUCGAUUUAAAGCUUGGGAGCUCUCUGCUAGAUUUUGAAUGCCAUUUUAACGAAACCAUUGAGAAGAAGAUGCAAUGAGUUAAGUUGAGUUGAGUUGUUUUGUUAUGUAGGUAGAUAUAAUUCUAAUAACAAU